GAUGAACGCUGGCGGCGUGCCUAAUACAUGCAAGUCGAGCGAACAGAUGAGGAGCUUGCUCCUCUGACGUUAGCGGCGGACGGGUGAGUAACACGUGGAUAACCUACCUAUAAGACUGGGAUAACUUCGGGAAACCGGAGCUAAUACCGGAUAAUAUAUUGAACCGCAUGGUUCAAUAGUGAAAGACGGUUUUGCUGUCACUUAUAGAUGGAUCCGCGCCGCAUUAGCUAGUUGGUAAGGUAACGGCUUACCAAGGCAACGAUGCGUAGCCGACCGGAGAGGGUGAUCGGCCACACUGGAACUGAGACACGGUCCAGACUCCUACGGGAGGCAGCAGUAGGGUAUCUUCCGCAAUGGGCGAAAGCCUGACGGAGCAACGCCGCGUGAGUGAUGAAGGUCUUCGGAUCGUAAAACUCUGUUGUUAGGGAAGAACAAAUGUGUAAGUAACUAUGCACGUCUUGACGGUACCUAAUCAGAAAGCCACGGCUAACUACGUG
rnacentral:rRNA from 1 species